UACGUAGGUGACAAGCGUUGUCCGGAUUUACUGGGCGUAAAGAGCGCGCAGGCGGUCGAUCAAGUCGAGUGUGAAAGCCCCCGGCUCAACUGGGGAGGGUCAUUCGAUACUGAUCGACUCGAAGGCAGGAGAGGGUUGUGGAAUUCCCAGUGUAGAGGUGAAAUUCGUAGAUAUUAGGAAGAACACCAGUGGCGAAGGCGGCUCACUGGUCCGGUACUGACGCUGAGGUGCGAAAGCGUGGGGAGCAAACAGG
rnacentral:rRNA from 1 species